GGAUUGAACGCUGGCGGCAUGCCUAACACAUGCAAGUCGAACGGGAGUAGCAAUACUCUAGUGGCGGACGGGUGAGGAAUACGUAGGAAUUUGCCCUUAAGUGGGGGAUAACCCGGGGAAACCCGGAUUAAUACCGCAUGACCUCGAAAGAGCAAAGUGGGGGAUCGCAAGACCUCACGCUUUUGGAGAAGCCUACGUCGGAUUAGCUAGUUGGUGAGGUAAUGGCCCACCAAGGCGACGAUCCGUAAAUUGGUCUGAGAGGAUGAUCAGUCACACCGGAACUGAGACACGGUCCGGACUCCUACGGGA
rnacentral:rRNA from 1 species